GCGAUUAUCGUAUAACGCUAUUACUCCGGUUUGUGGUACCGGUUAUCUGGGUUCGAUUCCCAGUAGUCGCC
rnacentral:tRNA from 1 species